rnacentral:rRNA from 1 species
GACGGACGCUGGCGGCGUGCUUAACACAUGCAAGUCGAACGGAAAGGCCUUGCUUUUGUGGGGUGCUCGAGUGGCGAACGGGUGAGUAACACGUGAGUAACCUGCCCUUGACUUUGGGAUAACUUCAGGAAACUGGGGCUAAUACCGGAUAGGAGCUCCUGCUGCAUGGUGGGGGUUGGAAAGUUUCGGCGGUUGGGGAUGGACUCGCGGCUUAUCAGCUUGUUGGUGGGGUAGUGGCUUACCAAGGCUUUGACGGGUAGCCGGCCUGAGAGGGUGACCGGCCACAUUGGGACUGAGAUACGGCCCAGACUCCUACGGGAGGCAGCAGUGGGGAAUAUUGCACAAUGGGCGGAAGCCUGAUGCAGCAACGCCGCGUGCGGGAUGACGGCCUUCGGGUUGUAAACCGCUUUCGCCUGUGACGAAGCGUGAGUGACGGUAAUGGGUAAAGAAGCACCGGCUAACUACGUG